AAGUCGUAACAAGGUUUCCGUAGGUGAACCUGCGGAAGGAUCAUUAAAGAGUAAGGGUGCUCAGCGCCCGACCUCCAACCCUUUGUUGUUAAAACUACCUUGUUGCUUUGGCGGGACCGCUCGGUCUCGAGCCGCUGGGGAUUCGUCCCAGGCGAGCGCCCGCCAGAGUUAAACCAAACUCUUGUUAUUUAACCGGUCGUCUGAGUUAAAAUUUUGAAUAAAUCAAAACUUUCAACAACGGAUCUCUUGGUUCUCGCAUCGAUGAGGAACGCAGCGAAAUGCGAUAAGUAAUGUGAAUUGCAGAAUUCAGUGAAUCAUCGAAUCUUUGAACGCACAUUGCGCCCCUUGGUAUUCCGAGGGGCAUGCCUGUUCGAGCGUCAUUACACCACUCAAGCUAUGCUUGGUAUUGGGCGUCGUCCUUAGUUGGGCGCGCCUUAAAGACCUCGGCGAGGCCACUCCGGCUUUAGGCGUAGUAGAAUUUAUUCGAACGUCUGUCAAAGGAGAGGAACUCUGCCGACUGAAACCUUUAUUUUUCUAGGUUGACCUCGGAUCAGGUAGGGAUACCCGCUGAACUUAA
rnacentral:rRNA from 1 species